AUCCCUUGCUGUGGUAUAUGGCUUUUUAUUCCUAUGUGAUUUGUUUCAUAGCUCAUGUAGGGCUGAAAGCCAUUUAUUGCACAGGGGAUG